rnacentral:rRNA from 1 species
AUUGAACGCCGGCGGCAGGCCUAACACAUGCAAGUCGAGCGGAUGAGAGGAGCUUGCUCUUUGAUUCAGCGGCGGACGGGUGAGUAAUGCCUAGGAAUCUGCCUGGUAGUGGUGGACAACGUUUCGAAAGGAACGCUAAUACCGCAUACGUCCUACGGGAGAAAGUGGGGGAUCUUCGGACCUCACGCUAUCAGAUGAGCCUAGGUCGGAUUAGCUAGUUGGUGAGGUAAUGGCUCACCAAGGCGACGAUCCGUAACUGGUCUGAGAGGAUGAUCAGUCACACUGGAACUGAGACACGGUCCAGACUCCUACGGGAGGCAGCAGUGGGGAAUAUUGGACAAUGGGCGCAAGCCUGAUCCAGCCAUGCCGCGUGUGUGAAGAAGGUCUUCGGAUUGUAAAGCACUUUAAGUUGGGAGGAAGGGCAGUAAGUUAAUACCUUGCUGUUUUGACGUUACCGACAGAAUAAGCACCGGCUAACUUCGUGCCAGCAGCCGCGGUAAUAC